ACUGCAAAAGUUCAGGUUUCUACAAUGCUGGAAUGCUUUCACGCCAAACACACUGACGAUAUAGCAUUCUCAGGAAUAGGAAUACUUAUAUUGUAAUUUUUAUUGUUGAUAUAAAUUUGUUAAUGUUGGUGGUGCCGUAAGUGAAAAUUUUCUAUAAAUAUGUGUGAAGAAGGGAAGCUGGACACUGAUGCUUGUCUUCAACUACCACUCAUGGCAACUACUAAACCCUCACACCUUCCGGAACCUUCUCAAAGCAUGCAUAUCGGAAAGAAACCUUUUAGCAGGGAAAGCCCUUCACGCACUCUUCUUCAAAUCCCACAACAACAACAAUGAUAACAUUACCACCUACCUCUCUAACCAUUUCACCAUUCUCUAUUCCAAAUGCGGCACUCUACGCAAUGCCAGAACUGCAUUUGACCUCACUGAACACCCCAAUGUGUUCUCCUACAAUGCCAUCAUCAAUGCCUAUGCCAAACACUCCCUUCCCCACAUUGCCCGCCAGCUGUUCGACCAAAUUCCUCAACCGGACCUUGUUUCCUACAACACCCUCAUUAGUGCGUAUGCUGAGCGCGGCGACUGUGAGGAGGCACUGGGCUUGCUCCGGGUGGUCAGAGAGAAGUGCAUUGCCAUCGACGGGUUCACCCUCUCCGGCGUCAUAGAUGCUUGCUGCGGCCGUGGCGUGGGGUUGAUCAGGCAGCUACAUUGCUUCGUGGUGAUGGGUGGGUUUCAUUCUUAUGCUUCUGUUAACAAUGCCAUCCUCACGAGUUAUAGCAAGGAGGGAUUCUUGGGUGAGGCGAAACGGGUGUUUCAUGAGAUGGGGGUUGGUGGGAGGGAUGAGGUUUCUUGGAACUCGAUGAUAGUGGCUUGCGGGCAACACCGUGAGGGAUCGGAUGCGCUGGCACUGUUCUGUGAGAUGGUUAUGAUGGGAUUGGAGGUUGACAUGUUCACUAUGGCUAGUGUGUUGACUGCCUUUACUUCCCUCAAGGAUUUGGCAGGGGGGAUGCAGUUUCAUGCUAAGAUGAUUAAGAGUGGAUUCCACAGGAAUACUCAUGUAGGGAGUGGUUUGAUUGACUUGUACUCUAAGUGUGCAGGGGGCAUGUUAGAGUGCAGGAAGGUGUUUGAAGAGAUUAUUGCACCAGAUUUGGUUCUAUGGAACACAAUGAUUUCUGGAUAUUCCCAGAAUGAGGACUUGUCUGAGGAUGCCCUCUGUUGUUUUCGCAAGAUGCAGCGUCUUGGCUUUUGUCCAGAUGAUUGUAGUUUCGUGUGUGUGGUUAGUGCUUGCUCUAAUUUACCUCCCUCAGUAGGAAAUCAAGUUCACGCGUUGACAAUCAAAUCCGACAUCCUUUAUAAUCGUGUUUCGGUGAAUAAUGCUCUUGUUGCAAUGUAUUCUAAAUGUGGGAAUCUUCAGGAUGCGAGAAAGAUUUUUGAUACUAUGCCAGAACACAACACGGUAUCACUGAAUUCGAUGAUAGCAGGUUACGCACAACAUGGCCUUGAGGCUGAGUCACUAUGGCUUUUUGAACUGAUGCUGCAAAAGGAUAUUGCCCCAAAUAACAUAACCUUCAUAUCUGUUCUUUCUGCAUGCGCACACACGGGGAAAGUUGAGGAAGGUCAGAAAUAUUUCAAUAUGAUGAAGGAGAAGUUUGGGUUUGAACCAGAGGCAGAACAUUAUUCAUGCAUGAUAGAUCUUUUGGGUCGUGCGGGCAAACUCAAGGAAGCCGAGAGGAUUAUUGAGACGAUGCCAUUUAAUCCUGGCUCUAUUGAAUGGGCUGCUUUACUUGGAGCAUGUAAGAAACAUGGAAAUGUGGAUCUUGCAGUGAAAGCAGCCAGUGAGUUUGUCCGGAUUGAACCUUAUAGUGCUGUUCCAUACGUGGUACUUUCUAAUAUGUAUGCCAGUGCUGGCAGAUGGGAAGAGGCUGCGACACUUAAGAAGAUGAUGCGUGAAAGAGGAGUGAAGAAGACACCUGGUUGUAGCUGGAUUGAGAUAGAUAAGAAAGUGCAUGUCUUCGUGGCCGAAGAUACUUCACAUCCAAUGAUAAAAAAGAUUCAUGAGUAUAUGGGAGAGAUGUUAAAGAAGUUGAAACAAGCAGGUUAUGUUCCUGAUAUAAGAUGGGCAUUGAUGAAAGAUGAAGAAGCAGUGACGGCAGAAGAGAAGGAAAGAAAGUUAUUGUAUCAUAGUGAGAAACUGGCUGUUGCAUUCGGCUUGAUCUGUACUGAAGAAGGGGUGCCAAUACUGGUUGUGAAGAACCUAAGAAUUUGUGGUGAUUGCCACAACGCCAUAAAAAUUAUUUCAGCCAUUUCUGGUAGGGAAAUCACUGUUAGAGAUACUCACAGGUUUCAUUGCUUUAAAGAAGGACAAUGUUCAUGCAGAGAUUAUUGGUGAUAAUAUAAUCAAAGGUGCUACACUGCUACUUUACCGGGAAUUUGAGUUGUUCUACCAUGACUUAUAGAUCUACUAAGCAGCCAAGCUAAACUGAAUGUUUGCAGAGCUUACUUGCAGAAUCCUACUAAAGAGUUGUACACAAGAUGGUCUUGAAGCUGAACUGCGACAGCUUCUCAAACUGACGCUGCAAAAUGAUAUUUUCUCUAAAAACAUAACCUUCAUAUAUGUUCAUACACAUGUGUUGGUUGGUGCAACCAAAGCAUCCAAUGAAUUCCUACAGCAGGAACCUUAUAAGGCUGCUCCCUAUGGGAUCCUUUAGAAUAUGCAUGCUAAUGCUGGUGAAUUAGGAAGAGGCCUACAACACUUAAAGAAAUACUGCAAAAUAAUUAUCAUUGACACACCCUAGUGAUGGACUUCAAAGAAUGGAAGAAAAAUGAUUAUCAUCCCUGAGAGUCCAAAUAAUCAUAGCCUGCUUUCUGAUUAAAAUCUUGAGCCUCAAGUCUCGUCUUGUGGCACUCACCGCUGCCAUCCAGAUUAAAUUUCACCUUGAACACCCACUUGCAACCGAUAGUAUGUUUACCAUGAGUCAGUGAAGUAAUAGUCCAAGUCCUGUUCUUCUCAAGGGUGAGUAACUCCACACUGAUUGCAUUUCUCCAACACUCAUGCACAACAUCUUGUUGAUACGUCCUUGGCUUCGAGGUUGUGAUUAUUGCCAGGGAAAAGGCUCUACGGGUGGGAGACAGCUUCCCAUAAUCCACAAGGUGAUGCAAACCGCAUCUCUCUCAACAUGAUUGGUAGCUGGAACUCCCUGUCCGAAGCAGCAUGCAAUGAUUAGGUGAGUACGAAGAUAUGAAGAAUCAUAAAGAAAAGGGAUCAAAGUCAUCAAAAUUAGAACCAAUAGUCGGUGUAAAAGAUGGCAAAGUACCCUUUGCAUGUAGCAAUUAAUUUAUAAGACAAACAAUGCUCAUAAAAUUCAACAUUUCUAGACAAAUAUAAUUCCCUUGUAUUGAGAUCAAAUAAUGUAUAACCCCUUUGUACUUUAUCAGAGAUGAUAAAUGUGCCUUAACUUGAGUCUAUGCAAUUGUGUGGCUUUGAUUUUUCUC